rnacentral:rRNA from 1 species
AAGUCUGAUGGAGCAACGCCGCGUGAGUGAUGAAGGUUUUCGGAUCGUAAAACUCUGUUGUAAGGGAAGAACCAGUAUGUCAGGCAAUGGACGUACCUUGACGGUACCCAAGAAGAAAGUCCCGGCUAACUACGUGCCAGCAGCCGCGGUAAUACGUAGGGGACAAGCGUUGUCCGGAUUUACUGGGCGUAAAGGGCACGCAGGCGGUUUUUUAAGUCAGAUGUGAAAGGUACCGGCUCAACCGGUGACAUGCAUUUGAAACUGAAAGACUUGAGUAUUGGAGAGGCAAGUGGAAUUCCUAGUGUAGCGGUGAAAUGCGUAGAUAUUAGGAGGAACACCGGUGGCGAAGGCGGCUUGCUGGACAAAUACUGACGCUGAGGUGCGAAAGCGUGGGGAGCAAACA